rnacentral:rRNA from 1 species
GACGAACGCUGGCGGCGUGCUUAACACAUGCAAGUCGAACGGAAAGGCCCUGCUCUUGUGGGGUGCUCGAGUGGCGAACGGGUGAGUAACACGUGAGUAACCUGCCCUUGACUUUGGGAUAACUUCAGGAAACUGGGGCUCAUACCGGAUAGGAGCUCUUGCUGCAUGGUGGGGGUUGGAAAGUUUCGGCGGUUGGGGAUGGACUCGCGGCUUAUCAGCUUGUUGGUGGGGUAGUGGCUUACCAAGGCUGUGACGGGUAGCCGGCCUGAGAGGGUGACCGGCCACAUUGGGACUGAGGUACGGCCCAGACUCCUACGGGCGGCAGCAGUGGAGAAUAUUGCACAAUGGGCGGAAGCCUGAUGCAGCAGCGCCGCGUGCGGGAUGACGGCCUUCGAGUUGUGAACCGCUUUCGCCUGUGACGAAGCGUGAGUGACGGUAAUGGGUAAAGAAGCACCGGCUAACUACGUG